rnacentral:tRNA from 1 species
GAGGGGAUAGUUUAAGUGGUAGAACGCUGGUCUCCAAAACCAGUGAUGGAGGUUCAAGUCCUUCUCCCUUCGCCA